rnacentral:rRNA from 1 species
UUGUAGCCUGCUAUGGUAUAACUUAGUGGCAGACGGGUGAGUAAUGUAUAGGAAUCUACCUAGUAGUACGGAAUAAUUGUUGGAAACGACAACUAAUACCGUAUACGCCCUACGGGGGAAAAAUUUAUUGCUAUUAGAUGAGCCUAUAUUAGAUUAGCUAGUUGGUGGGGUAAUAGCCUACCAAGGUAAUGAUCUAUAGCUGAUCUGAGAGGAUGAUCAGCCACACUGGAACUGAGAUACGGUCCAGACUCCUACGGGAGGCAGCAGUGGGGAAUAUUGGACAAUGGGCGAAAGCCUGAUCCAGCCAUGCCGCAUGAGUGAAGAAGGCCUUUGGGUUGUAAAGCUCUUUUAGUGAGGAAGAUAAUGACGGUACUCACAGAAGAAGUCCUGGCUAACUCCGUGCCAGCAGCCGCGGUAAUACGGAGAGGGCUAGCGUUAUUCGGAAUUAUUGGGCGUAAAGGGCGCGUAGGCUGGUUAAUAAGUUAAAAGUGAAAUCCCGAGGCUUAACCUUGGAAUUGCUUUUAAAACUAUUAAUCUAGAGAUUGAAAGAGGAUAGAGGAAUUCCUGAUGUAGAGGUAAAAUUCGUAAAUAUUAGGAGGAACACCAGUGGCGAAGGCGUCUAUCUGGUUCAAAUCUGACGCUGAAGCGCGAAGGCGUGGGGAGCAAACAGGAUUAGAUACCCUGGUAGUCCACGCUGUAAACGAUGAAUGUUAAAUAUGGGGAGUUUACUUUCUGUAUUACAGCUAACGCGUUAAACAUUCCGCCUGGGGACUACGGUCGCAAGAUUAAAACUCAAAGGAAUUGACGGGGACCCGCACAAGCGGUGGAGCAUGUGGUUUAAUUCGAUGCAACGCGAAAAACCUUACCACUUCUUGACAUGAAAAUCAUACCUAUU